rnacentral:rRNA from 1 species
UGCCAGCAGCCGCGGUAAUACGUAGGUGGCGAGCGUUGUCCGGAAUUAUUGGGCGUAAAGAGCGCGUAGGCGGGAUGAUAAGUCUGUUGUAAAAGUGCGGGGCUCAACCCCGUAAGGUCAAUGGAAACUGUCAUUCUUGAGUGCAGGAGAGGAAAGUGGAAUUCCCAGUGUAGCGGUGAAAUGCGUAGAUAUUGGGAGGAACACCAGUGGCGAAGGCGACUUUCUGGACUGUGUCUGACGCUGAGGCGCGAAAGCUAGGGGAGCGAACGGGAUUAGAUACCCCGGUAGUCCUAGCCGUAAACGAUGGGUACUAGGUGUAGGAGGUAUCGACCCCUUCUGUGCCGGAGUUAACGCAAUAAGUACCCCGCCUGGGGAGUACGGCCGCAAGGUUGAAACUUAAAGGAAUUGGCGGGGGA